rnacentral:rRNA from 1 species
UACGUAGGGUGCAAGCGUUAAUCGGAAUUACUGGGCGUAAAGCGUGCGCAGGCGGUUUUGUAAGCCAGAGGUGAAAUCCCCGGGCUUAACCUGGGAAUGGCAUUUGGGACUGCAAGGCUGGAGUGUGGCAGAGGAGACUGGAAUUCCUGGUGUAGCAGUGAAAUGCGUAGAUAUCAGGAGGAAUACCGAUGGCGAAGGCAGGUCUCUGGGCUGACACUGACGCUCAUGCACGAAAGCGUGGGGAGCAAACAGG